GAUGAACGCUGGCGGCGUGCCUAAUACAUGCAAGUCGAGCGAAUGGAUUAAGAGCUUGCUCUUAUGAAGUUAGCGGCGGACGGGUGAGUAACACGUGGGUAACCUGCCCAUAAGACUGGGAUAACUCCGGGAAACCGGGGCUAAUACCGGAUAACAUUUUGAACCGCAUGGUUCGAAAUUGAAAGGCGGCUUCGGCUGUCACUUAUGGAUGGACCCGCGUCGCAUUAGCUAGUUGGUGAGGUAACGGCUCACCAAGGCAACGAUGCGUAGCCGACCUGGAAGGGUGAUCGGCCACGCAGGGACUGGGACACGGCCCAGACUCCUACGGGAGGCAGCAGUAGGGAAUCUUCCACAAUGGACGAAAGUCUGACGGAGCAACACCGCGUGAGUGAUGAAGGCUUUCGGGUCGUAAAACUCUGUUGUUAGGGAAGAACAAGUGCUAGUUGAAUAAGCUGGCACCUUGACGGUACCUAACCAGAAAGCCACGGCUAACUACGUGCCAGCCGCCGCCAUAA
rnacentral:rRNA from 1 species